rnacentral:rRNA from 1 species
UACGUAGGUGGCUAGCGUUAUCCGGAUUUACUGGGUGUAAAGGGUGUGUAGGCGGGGAGGCAAGUCAGAUGUGAAAUUUAUGGGCUCAACCCAUAAACUGCAUUUGAAACUGUCUUUCUUGAGGAUGGGAGAGGUAAAUGGAAUUCCCGGUGUAGCGGUGAAAUGCGUAGAGAUCGGGAGGAACACCAGUGGCGAAGGCGGUUUACUGGACCAUUACUGACGCUGAUACACGAAAGCGUGGGGAGCAAAC